GAUUCCCUGCAGCCUGCCAGAGACGUGGUCGCUGCCCUGCCAAGAGCUAUCUGGGAGAGCUAUUGAAAGAGCCUUGAGAUUCCACAGUGUGCUUAGUUAUCUUGUAUCCUUCAUCUGCUUCACUCUGUGGCAGCUCCACCAUCUUUCCUUGUCUUUCAUGAUGCUUUCAAGAGUCCUAGUCAGUUGUUUCAUAGAAUGUUCUCCACUGGGGUCUGUCUGAUACUGAGGAGCUGCAUUAUUGGGAAGAACGCCCAGAUGUACAUGACAUAUUUCACUGCUGUAAACAUGAUCACAAGGUUAAGAUCGUUUCUCUAGUAUUGUCUAUUAUCAAGUUACAACUUUUUGUAUUUUUUAAAAAAGAUUUUUGGGGGAUGUGUGUGUGUGUGAUAUUUCAAAGCAAUGCAAAUAUGCUAUUAUGCUUACACUUCCGCCUACUAAAUCUAUCAAAGGCUCUCACCUGUGGCAAUGAAUGCUGUGGCGAUCUAAAAGUCAUGUUAUUUCCCUUAUUCAUUCUACAUUUAUAAUUGCAACUCUUUGAAAGGAGGAGUUGCAUGAUGUUACAUUGUGAUAAAGCAGAAAUAAAAACAGCCAGUACUCUUGGAGCCUAAAUUUUAGAUGAAGAGAGAGAUAAGCAAAAUAAAUAAGUGGACUUGAUAGUAUAUUGAAUGGUGACAAGUACUGCAGAGAGAAAUUAAGGGAGGAGAGAUAGAAAGUGCCAGGAGCUGCAGGUUUAAAUUGCAUGGUCAGGGAAGACCUUGGAGAGAAGACUUGAAGCAGAGGAGGGAACCAGUGUGUGAAGCUUUCUCCAGAAAAGAAUUAGCAAGUACAAGAGCUCGGAGGCAGGACCACAUCUAGCCUAAGCACUCUAAGGAAGCCAGGAGGCCAGCGUGAUGGGUGCAAAGUGAGCAAAGUGGGAAGGGGAGUGAGAGAGUGAUGAAGCCAAAAAUGACAGGGCCAGCUGAUGCAGGCCUGGGGACAUUCUAAUGAUCUGCUUAUUAAUCCGAGGAAGGCAGGAAAACCAUUCUAGAGCCAUUGCAAGAUGUUGAGCGAAGAGGUCACAUGAUGUGACUUUAUAUUAUUAAAAGAUCUGCUCUAGUAGGCAAGGGCAGAGGCAAGGAGACCCUGCUUGGGAAGCUAUGACAUCAUCCAGGUAAGAGAUGGAAGUGGGUUGGACCAGAAUUGUAACAAAGUGGUGACUGGAUUGUGCAUAUCUUUUGACAGUAGGACUAACACUGCUAAGAAAGGUCUUCAGCAGCUUUGGGCCACCAUCUGAAUGCCUAGGGCAUGUUCCUCCCUCUCUCACCUUGAAGUGGGGCUUCACUAACCAGAUUGAGAAGCAUGGGCUGGCCACCUUGAGUCUAAGCUCUGCAGUCCCUCAUUGGAGCCUUCUUUUUCUGGGCCUACCUUCAUUUUUCUCUGCACCCCACUUCUGUCUGCCACAGGCCCACCUCUGCCCAGGCCAACCCACCACCAUUUGCUCACACUCUCCCACCCCUGCUCUGCCAAACAAUAGCCUUUCCCUCCCUUAAGGUUCAGCUUUGCCACUCAGAGCCCCUCUCGGAACACCUGCCCUCUUGGUUGUUGACAUUAACUAGAGUCUGCUUCACGGGAGCAGCCCCUGGAGAUAAACAGGCUCUCAGACACCCCAGCGGCUCAGGGACUCUUGAACACAGAGCCGGCACCGAGCGCUUGGUUGGCAGGGUGCUUGGUUUGUUGGCAUAUGGCAUACGGUGCAAUGAACACAUCAUGUUUUCUCUUAGUCAUCCAAGUACACUUUGCAUUAUACUUCACAUAUAUCCUCUUUUCUUUCCAUGUAAAAACUAUUUUUGCCUCUUCCUCUGCCCAAUCUUUCAAGUGAAGUUAAAAUUCCAGAA